rnacentral:rRNA from 1 species
AACUAACGCUAGCGGCGUGCCUAACACAUGCAAGUCGUACGAGAAAGUCCGUUUCGGCGGAUAAGUAAAGUGGCGCACGGGUGAGUAACGCGUGGAUAAUCUACCCUUUAGUUCGGAAUAACGUACCGAAAGGUGCGCUAAUACCGGAUAAUAUCCCUUGACUUUCGGAUUAGGGGAUCAAAGAUGGCCUCUGCUUGCAAGCUUUCACUGAAGGAUGAGUCCGCGUACCAUUAGCUAGUUGGCAGGGUAACGGCCUACCAAGGCGACGAUGGUUAGCUGGUCUGAGAGGAUGAUCAGCCACACUGGAACUGAGACACGGUCCAGACUCCUACGGGAGGCAG